rnacentral:misc_RNA from 1 species
ACUUCCAUAACUUUGCUUGGGGCCAAAGAAGGUUUCAUUAAGUAAUAGUAUGCAGACAGAGUUUGAUGCAUGACAUAAUUUCCGGUAUAUUUUGAUGACCUUGAAAGAUAUAUCACUGCAACCACCAAAGGCAAUAGAAUACAAACACCAACUAUCCAAAGUAAAAGUAUUCCACCAGACGCCCCAUCUAUGUCUAGCAGAAACUGAGGAAGUGCUAUGCCCAUUUGAAACCCCUG